rnacentral:rRNA from 1 species
GACGAACGCUGGCGGCGUGCUUAACACAUGCAAGUCGAACGGAAAGGCCCUGCUUUUGUGGGGUGCUCGAGUGGCGAACGGGUGAGUAACACGUGAGUAACCUGCCCUUGACUUUGGGAUAACUUCAGGAAACUGGGGCUAAUACCGGAUAGGAGCUCCUGCUGCAUGGUGGGGGUUGGAAAGUUUCGGCGGUUGGGGAUGGACUCGCGGCUUAUCAGCUUGUUGGUGGGGUAGUGGCUUACCAAGGCUUUGACGGGUAGCCGGCCUGAGAGGGUGACCGGCCCCAUUGGGACUGAGAUACGGCCCCGACUCCUACGGGAGGCAGCAGUGGGGAAUAUUGCACAAUGGGCGGAAGCCUGAUGCAGCAACGCCGCGUGCGGGAUGACGGCCUUCGGGUUGUAAACCGCUUUCGCCUGUGACGAAGCGUGAGUGACGGUAAUGGGUAAAGAAGCACCGGCUAACUACGUG